rnacentral:rRNA from 1 species
GCCCCGAAGCGGGGGAUAACAUUUGGAAACAAGUGCUAAUACCGCAUAAUUAGUUGGAACCGCAUGGUUCCAACUUGAAAGAUGGCUCUGCUAUCACUUUGGGAUGGACCCGCGCCGUAUUAGUUAGUUGGUGAGAUAAAAGCCCACCAAGACGAUGAUACGUAGCCGACCUGAGAGGGUAAUCGGCCACAUUGGGACUGAGACACGGCCCAGACUCCUACGGGAGGCAGCAGUAGGGAAUCUUCCACAAUGGACGAAAGUCUGAUGGAGCAACGCCGCGUGAGUGAUGAAGGUUUUCGGAUCGUAAAACUCUGUUGUUAAAGAAGAACAAGUGUUAGAGUAACUGUUAACACUUUGACGGUAUUUAACCAGAAAGCCACGGCUAACUACGUGCCAGCAGCCGCGGUAAUACGUAGGUGGCAAGCGUUGUCCGGAUUUAUUGGGCGUAAAGCGAGCGCAGGCGGUUUUGUAAGUCUGCUGUGAAAGCCCUCAGCUCAACUGAGGAAGUGCAGUGG